ensembl:lncRNA
AAAAAACCUCUAUGAAUUUUACUUACAGCGGCACCCUUCCCAUAAUUUCACUACUCACUUUUUCAGCAGUUUUGAAUCUUCCAAAUGAUGUUUGUCUGACGAGGCACACCUGUGGAAAUGGGAGACUGUGGAGAAAAACGCUGUGGACUGAUUGCUGGAUUCCCCUGCCUGAAGCGCUUCUUUGCCUACGACCUUACCUGUGAACCUUGCCUUUUCAGGUACUGCACUCUCAAAGACUGAAUGAACAGCAUUGCAGCCAUGGGUCACUGUGAGCAUCACAGGGAAGGUUGAAGCCGCCCACUGCACCUGUAUGGCCGGAGUCGUGGAGACCUGC